GACAGAGGGUGCAAGCGUUGUUCGGAAUCAUUGGGCGUAAAGGGCGCGUAGGCGGCUUUGUAAGUCGGAUGUGAAAUCCCAGGGCUCAACCGUGGAAGUGCAUCCGAAACUGCGAAGCUCGAGUCCCGGAGAGGGUGGUGGAAUUCCCAGUGUAGAGGUGAAAUUCGUAGAUAUCGGGAGGAACACCGGUGGCGAAGGCGGCGAUCUGGGUCGAUACUGACGCUGAGGUGCGAAAGUGUGGGGAGCGAACAGG
rnacentral:rRNA from 1 species